GUAACGGAGGCGCCCCAAGGUUCCCUCAGAAUGGUUGGAAAUCAUUCGGAGAGUGCAAAGGCAUAAGGGAGCUUGACUGCGAGACCUACAAGUCGAGCAGGGACGAAAGUCGGGCUUAGUGAUCCGGUGGUACCGAAUGGAAGGGCCAUCGCUCAACGGAUAAAAGCUACCCUGGGGAUAACAGGCUUAUCUCCCCCAAGAGUCCACAUCGACGGGGAGGUUUGGCACCUCGAUGUCGGCUCAUCGCAUCCUGGGGCUGAAGUAGGUCCCAAGGGUUGGGCUGUUCGCCCAUUAAAGCGGUACGCGAGCUGGGUUCAGAACGUCGUGAGACAGUUCGGUCCCUAUCUGUCGCGGGCGCAGGAAAUUUGAGAGGAGCUGUCCUUAGUACGAGAGGACCGGGAUGGACGUACCGCUGGUGUACCAGUUGUUCCGCCAGGAGCACCGCUGGGUAGCCAAGUACGGACGGGAUAAGCGCUGAAAGCAUCUAAGCGUGAAGCCCCCCUCAAGAUGAGAUUUCCCAAUUCGUAAGACCCCUGGUAGACGACCAGGUUGAUAGGUUCGGGGUGGAAGCGCAGCAAUGCGUGCAGCUGACGAAUACUAAUCGGUCGAGGGCUUAUCCUAUU
rnacentral:rRNA from 2 species